AACGAGUAAAACAUUGUGUAUCAGCUGUGAAUGCGUCUAUCAGCUGUGAUAGACGAAUCAUUGUGUGAAAAUGAGAGAUGAAUCUGCUGGUAGUUGUAUUUGAAUCCGAGAACAGCAAGAAAUGGUGGAUGAAUUAUGUAAAAGACGGUUUAUUUCAAGGGUUCCGUUGAAGCAGAUAAGGCAGAAAAGAAGAAUCAUCAAUGGGUUCUGUAAAUGGUUAUUAAUCUGUGUAGGGGUACGACGAAUUGAAGAAUUAGGUCAUCAAUUGGAAGAACCGAAGAUGAAUUAGGGGUUUCUGCUGCUGUAGCUAAGAACAAAUAUCUUAGGGUUUGAAUUGGUUUUCUGGCUUCAUGUGAAAUCUCAGAAGAAUAAGUUGAGAUUUGGGUUUUGUAGUGGUUGAUAAUGGAAGAGAUGAUGCCAGAACACGGUGGUGUUGUUCUGGUAAAGCUGUAGGCUGGAAUUGCAGUUGGUUGAGGUUCUGAUUGUACUCGAAUUGGUGAAGCUGCAAUAGAAGGAAGGAAAGAUGGAAUGAAUCUGGAAGAGGUUCGCCAAUAAAUGUUCCUUUGCUUUUCAGGAUCUGAAAUUGAGAUUACAAAAUAUGGGUGGUGAUUGCUGACACAGCUGCAUGAAACUGCACCAUUAACAGUUUAAUGGCGACCAUCUUCUAGAACUUAAAUUUAUAUUGCAUCAUUGAUGUGUGCAUAUUGUCUACACAUAUAUUUUUAGAACCUAACUUAGGGGUCGUGGCAAAAUCAGGUUUUGUUACGUAGCUGGGGUUGCUGAUGUUAGUUUCUGGGUUUGAUUUGCAAUUCAUAUUUUACCAAUUGCUUGAUUCAAUGUAUACUACUAUUACUUUACAAUGUUUGCAUACCUCGUCUUAAAUACUUCCAUAAAUAUCGCUAUUUUGCCUGUGAGCCUAAUUGACACAUAAAGAUGAAAAACAUACUAUACUAAAAUAUAACCAUCCUGGCUGCUAAAUAUUUGUUUUACGUAAUUCUUAAGAGAAUGACUCGUCUAAAUAGAUUGAGUAAAGUAGGUUAUAGUUUGGUGCAUUUUCGUCUUCCUUUUCUUUUCCAUGGCAUUUGACUCGCAUGUAUGUAAUAAUAUAGAAGAACAUUACCGCUUUGCUUAUGUUACUAUCUUUGUCGUGAUCAUUUGCCUAUGUUUAAGCUUUUACAAUCAGCUUAGGCAGUACUCGUUUUAGACUUUUGAGUGAGUUUGUUUUCAAGUAUGAAUUGAAUGUCUUGGUGAAAGCUUGUUUGUAGACGAAUAUAGGGCAAGUAGGGUUGUGAUCUUAAAUAUAAACAACUACAAAUCAUUGCCAUGGUCAUUAUUUGGACUGAUAGUAAGACUUUUGAAAUUGAAUGAUGCAUCGUUCAAUAUGAAUUUGAAUAUGCACUUUAACCAAAAUAAUUAAAGGAGAUGACCAUUAGUUAACCAAGACGGGCUUUAUAAUCCAAGAGAUAAAUUAUAAGACUCAUAAUAGAUUAAUUGUAUAUAAGAUCAUAGAGGAACAAUAGAGGAUACUGGAAAUGAUAUAGCUUUGAAAAUGUAAGUUUGUCUGUGAAUGAACUGUGAACAUAAAUCACAUAAACAUGGGUAAUAAACAUGAAAAAUACAUUCUUUUAAUCCCACCACACCGAUGUGACCAUCAAUUGCUUCUACAUGUGUGACUGAUAUCCUUUCUUUUUAAAUCAUAAUAUUUAUUUUGUUAUUGUUCUUCAAGGGAAAGAGUAUAAGAUUUUGUUAUCAGGCACAAAGAAGAAAAGGGAUUUACUCAGGAUUUAAGCCUUCCGUCCCUUCACAGUCAAGAACCGAACCAUUCACCUGUGCUUUCACCACUAUCACCAGGGCCUGCUCUUCCUGCUAAUGCACACCUUCAGGCUUCAGGUUCUUUGGCGAGGAAGCAAGGGCAAUAUUUCCACCAGUGUUCAAGCCAGUGAGUUUGUCACCUCCACCUCCUAAUCAAGAGGCCUUCUGUUGGUGCAAGAUUUCUCAACAUCAUGAUGGGGCAUCCAACCUUUAUAUCUAACUUGAACGGAGACAUUCCAGGUGGACUUAAAUUCUGCAGGUUUUCGCCGGAAAAGUGUGGAAUAUUCCCAGCAUCAUCUGGAUUAACUUGUCUGCAGCAAGAUUCAUAUAUAAAUCAGAGCCAUGUUCAAGGAUAAAUGGAACAAAAGCAUGUGAAAAACAAAGUAAGAUUCGUACCUCUACCAAGAACUUUGCAAAAGAGACACUAUCAGAUUCAAGCACAUCCAACCUCAUAUUUUGGUGCAGCGCCAAUACAGUGACGUCAUUCCAAUGUACCGAUCUCCUCAGACAUGCUGCAACCACUUCUUCGCGACAUCCACCGGCUACAACAGGCAACGUCUGCCUAAAGUCUCCUCCUAGAACAACGCAUUUUAGACUGUGGAUCUUGUUUGUCAACCCCACAAACACUGUUCUCGACAAUUUCAAAGGGAAUCUUGAACGUCGAGUGCGCUGUACGACCUCCUACCAGCAGUAGUGAAACAAUGCCAGACGAAGCAGCAGUUAAAACUAUGUGUCCAUCCCUGCGGCAUCUAUUUGAUAAUGUGUUAUACAGAAAUGUUUUACCGCUUCCCGCACUGCCAUUUAGAAAAAACAGUUUAUCCUCACCAUCUCUUACCGAAUUAAACACGGCGUUGUACGCUGAUGUCUGUGCAGGAUUCAGCUUCCUGAUGCUCUCUUCGACCUCAGCAUCACUCACUGCAAGUUGUAGGCACCAAUGCUCCCACAUAUACUUGUCACCAACAACAUCACUCCAUGUUAGUUUUGAUCUUGGCAUGUCCUCAAAAUCUUCGAGCGACUUUCCAGAUUCACGCAAUUGUUCAUCCAAAAGAUUUCAACAUUAAUGUGGCAAUUGAACAUCCUUGACAGAUAAGGAUUGUAUGGAACCACAUUUGUGUUGUUCGCUUUGAAUGCAGUUCGUACCAAUACCUCCUUCCCAUUAUCGCGGCGACGAUGUAUUGGAUAUCCGCCUUCGUCCAUACUUGUGCACUCGGACCAUCCAGGAAUAUAAGAGCAUGCAUAUGAGGCCAACGCGGAUUCGCGGUCAUUGUUAAGAAGAUAUCUGGAUGAUGAUUAAACCGGGUAAUGGCCAUUGAAUCUUGAUAAAUCUCAUACAUAUGCCUAGGACCACCGAUAAAAGUCGAUGGUUAUACAUAUGGCUUACCCAAGUCUUCGGGAGUUAGCCCGGAUUCAGCCGAGGCCUUUAUAUGUUCAUACGAAUCUGCUCGCAGCUUAUCCUGGUUUAUCUUAAGAUAAUACAGACGGUUCUGUUCUGUUGAUGCCCAAGCGUCCACCGGGGUCCAGCUGCUUCAUAUCAGGAUGCCAACCCAUCUCGCUGUAUGGAAACAGUAAAACAUAAUGCAGGGGCAAGUAUGCAGGGUGACACUCUGAAAUACGUUUGAAUCCAUUUCUCCCAUUGCGGUGAAGUAUUAUAUCUCUGAAGUCAGGCUUCUGAGAACCAUCUCCGGGUAAUAUUACAGAGAUUUCAUCGGUCGUUGGUAGGUUAUAACGCCUUUCAUAUGUAGAUUCCUCGUAGUGCAUGAUGACUUUGACAUUAUUGUCUGUGGAGUCAGCAUUGCUCAGAAGUUCUCGUGCCUGGUAAUAUUUAUCGCAAAAAAUAUUAUGUUCUAAGAUAAUUUUCUGGACCUUUUUAAGAACUUCUUUAUCCAACUUGGGAUUCCGUGUUGCACGAACAGCCAAUGCCUGAUCCGGGUCAUAGAAAUACAACUGAUGAUAGAUUGGGUCUUUACCCUCGUCUGGUAGUAAAGUUCUGGAAUUAUGUCGAAGUUCACCAUGAAUUGCAAAGCCUUUUGGGCCCUUCCCCUUCAGGACCCUCUUAUCCAGUUUACAACCGAGACUGGUAUAGGCGUUUGAAGUAUUGUACUCCCGCAUGUGAUCUUUGUAAAACCUCGACUCGGCAUCGUCUCCUUCAAGUAAAUCCAUUAGUUCUUUUGGAGGCUCCAGCAGCGCAGAGAGUAUUACUUUUCCUUUGCGGCAACAUCUUGAAAAUUUUGGAUUCUUCUUGGAUGAGUCGGUUGUCCUCUCAUCAAUCCAAUGCAGUGCUCCACAUGAAAAACAUUCUAUAUCCAUUUCACCAAGGUGAUCUAUUAGCUGCUGAGAAAACUGAAGAACAUUCAACUCUUUAAGGUAGAGUUGCUUGAUUACAACAUCCUAUGUGCUGCCAUUGUAGAAUGCAACGGAGUUUUCCACGUUGCCAGUCCAGUUCCUGCCUAUCGCAUAGCCAAUCAUGAGGUAUGCAAUUUGCUUACACUCAAUUCUAUUUAAACGGAUGCUUUAACUGUUACAUUCCCAGCCAUUAGUAAACUUAUGUCGUAGGUGUAUACCAAGACCACUGUAAUAGGGACACAUAAUCUGUUGCUGCUUUUUUUACGAACCAUGUGUUGUCUGGACAUUAUUUUACCAAUAUUGGAUGAACCACAUGAAUCCGCAUGAUCUCGAAGCUCACAGAUUCCAUGACAUUUUUUUUAGAGAUGAACAAUUAUGCAAAAGAGAUGUUACGUUUUGAUAUAAGUUGAUUCCGUGGGCUCCAGGGAUGCGUCGUAGUCCGAAAUGUUUGAACUCCCCUGUACCAGAAUGCUUGAACUAACCUGUACAUUGAUAUACAAUCAAUUAGAUAUUUCCAGCUGUAUGGGCCUGUGAAUAAUAUGUUUAGGUAUUUACCGGACUAUCUGAGCCAUCAAUAUUUUGGAAGUGGUUUGUGUUGCAUGUACGUCUCCGUUUGGUAUGGGUAGCCUAUAACAUAUACAAUUAGUUUUGUCAGAUGGCAAACAAUUUGAUUUUAUCUAGUCUAGAAAUCUUGACAUGUUGUACACCUCUUUGAUCGAUAAAUCUCUCUUACACCGAGAUUUAUUCUGCGGACCUACUUGAUUCAGAGUAAAAUAUCAAGAAAAUAAUGCUUUUAAUUUAAAGUUAAUUAGUACUGUUGUAUAUAUGAUUUCUUUUGUUAAUUAUGUACCAAUGUAUGUAUCCUGGCAAGAAGAUUAUAUAUUCAUGAACACAUCAUUAUAAAAGUAACAAAUGCAGAGAAUGUGCAACUGAGUAUGCAUCUGUCCGUUGUUCUGGAUGCCGGCUAUUCUGAAUAAGUUGUUCCUGCUUAUUUUUCUCCCAUCAUUUCAGCUGGGCCAAGGACCUUUUAUUACAAUGGUUAGGAUCGCUUUGAUUCUGUUUAAAAGACAGACAAAACAAUGCAGUUAAUUAUGUACUAAUGUAUGUAUCCCUGCAAGAAGACUGCACAUUCAUGAACACAUCAAAUAAAAAUACCCAAUGCUUUACAUUGGAUUGCAGAGAAUGUGCAACUUCUACCAAGACUGCAUCUGCCUGUUGUUCUGGAUUCUGGCUAGUCUGAAUAAGUUUU